AUAUUCGAGAGCCCAUAAUGAAAAAUCAAACGCCUUACACAAUUUUAUUUUCAUAUAAUACAGACCGUAUUAAAGAGUUUUUAAUUUAUUUGCUAGAUAAGUUUGAAAUCGUAGAAAAAUAUACAGACUCUGAAAGCUUUAAUAUUUUGUUUGAUAACAAGGAUGUACCUCUUAGUAAUAGAACUUACAUAUUUAAAAAAGAAGCAAAAAUACGAAUAAAAAAUAAAUAUUAUACUGCAGAUGUUAUAAUUGCCUCGUGUUUAAUUUUAAUUGAAGAAGAUGAGGUAAUUUAUUCUGAAGAGUUGGAAUUGGAGGAAAAGGGAAGAACAAACGUUUUGCCUAAAAUUAUUAAUUAUAAAAUAGAAAAUUUAAAAAAAAUAAAUUUGACGGAUAUAGUUUUUGAGUGUAUUAUUUUUUUAUUUACCAAUUUUACUGAAAAAGAAAAAAGAAUAAUUAAUGAAAACCCGUUUAGAAAUUAUAAUGAAGAUUGUAUAGAAUAUAUACAAGACUCAAAUACUAAAAAAACAAAAAAAAAUGAAGAUUUUGAUUUUUCCAAUUUAUAUAAAGAUAUAGGAAUAAAACUUGUUAUUUUUCCUUUAUCAUUACAAAAAAAAAACCAAGAAAUUUUAAUGUAUUUAAGUUACUACUUUAUUGAAUGUUUGUAUAUUAAUUAUGAAUCAUACAAUGUAGAUGAUAUGUCACAUGAGGAACGUUCCAACUGCCCUCCAAAUAAGUUCUUAGACGAAUAUGCGGGUUCAAAACAUUAUCACCCACCUCAAAAAAUAAAAGAAAAAAAAACUAUCAAGACAAGCAACUUAACACAUUCUCAUGAAAAUGAUGAACGAUUAGUUGAAGCACUGCACUGUCAUAUGUGGAGGGGGUUAAAAAUCAAAAAGGAGAAUCUAAUAAUUCAAGGAAAUGAAGUUAAAAACGGUUUUUCUAAUACGAACAGUGGAGUCAUCACACAUGUUAACAAAAGCGACGGACAAAAAAUUAAGAAAAUGGAAAAAGAUGAGGAUAGGAGUACUAAAGAGAGGGGAAAAAGUGAAGGGAAAAGUGAGGGCAAAAAUGAGGUGGGAAAUGAGAGGAUAAGUGAGGGCAAAAAUGAGGGGAAAAAUGAAGGGAAAAGUGAGAACAAAAAUGAGGGAAAAAAUGAAGGGAAAAGUGAGGGCAAAAAUGAGGGAAAAAAUGAAGGGAAAAGUGAGGGAAAAAAUGAGGGGAAAAAUGAGGGGAAAAAUGAAGGGAAAGGUGAGGGCAAAAAUGAAGGGAAAAGUGAGGGCAAAAAUGAAGGCAAAAAUGAAGGGAAAAGUGAGGGCAAAAAUGAAGGCAAAAAUGAAGGGAAAAGUGAGGGAAAAAAUGAAGGCAAAAAUGAGGGCAAAAAAAAAGAAAAAGAUAAACAUAAGUAUAAAGAACAAGGUAAAGAAAAAAAUGAGAAAGAUUUAUUAUUUUUGGAAAAUUUUAAUCAUAUUGUGGAAAAAAUAAAAUUAGCUAAAAUUGAAAACAGUAAUUGUAGUAAUGAUUUAGAAAGAAGAAAAAAAGCAGAGAAAUUAAUUUUCGAAUUACAACAUUAUUUUCAAGGUGUUGAUGACAAAUGAUAAAGUUUUAAACACUUAAAGGCAAGUUAAAAAAAAAAAAAAAAAAAAAAAAAAAUGCCAAGAGACAACUAACAAAUAUAUAACAGCAUAUACCAAACUAACAAACUCCAAAUAAACUGUGGAAAAUCAAUAAAACUUAAUAAUAU
ensembl:lncRNA